rnacentral:lncRNA from 1 species
UAUCAAUAUAAGUAAAUUAGGUUGAGACUCUAGCUCUAGAGAUUAUCACUAAGCCAUCUUAGCCUCAGCGUGAUUUAUAUCUGACAACUCUUACAUUCAUUAUAUUGCAAAGUCCCCUUUAUUUGCACAUUCCACAUGUCUUUGUAUCAAUAACUCUAGAGACAUUCGUAUUAUUUUAUUAUGAAGGAAGUUCUGAAUUGUAGUUAUUCUUACACAUAGAAGAUGUGGUAUGAGGGCUAAAGAGAUACCUCAAUAACCAAGUCAUAAUUUGUAAAAGUAAACCAUUAUAGAUCAAAGUACGCAUAUUUGUAUUCAGUAAUUUUCUUGGUCACAUUUUUCUAUUCUUUGUUAAAUUUGUCAGUUCUUCUCUAUUCCUUAUAUUCUAACACCCUAUUUUUUUUUCCUUUUUUCUUUUUUUUGCUAACUUUUUACGUGUUAAGUAUGUAAACUAAUUAUUUUGCGCGUUACUGGUGAGUCUUAUGUAGACAAAACGUGCGUGUGGCGAAUAAAAUGAUAAGCCUGGUACCUAUAAUAACUAAGUUUUUAAUAACUAUUUGUAUUAUCAUAAAUUAUCAUUAUUUAUACAAAUAUCUGGGUUUUUUUUUAUAGUUUUUUCAAUUUCUCAAUUUCCAUGUUUGUAGAAAUGUAUGAUAAUAUCAAAUACUUCCAGUACUUGACCUCAUCAGAAGAUGCAGAUACAUUUGGGUGUAGUUUUUCUAUUUAUAAUGUCAGACGGAUACAAAUAACAGUAGGCAAUUGUAUGAAGUGUUUGUAGGGGAAAUACCCUCGACAUUACAUCAUCCGAAAAGUACAUACUAUAAAAAAGAGAAACAAUAGUAUUGUGAUUAUAAAAGAAACAAGUAAAGCACGUCAGAUGCAAUGCAUCUAUUAUAUUAUUUUGAUGCGGUCAGUUUUUAUAAGUUGAGGAAGUAGACAUGCCCGGAGAGAAACAUUAACCUUCGUUAGGAAUAAAUCAUACGUAUAAUACACAUGUAAUGGUGGUUGGAAUAAUUAAAUAUUUUUCAGGUGAUUGUUUCCUGGUUAACGUGAUAUAAUAAUAUUUAAUAUAUAAGGGAUGUAUUUGAAGUUCCGCCUUCAAAUGCGUUACAUGGAGUAGAUUCUAAUUAAUUUACCAGAGCACCUAAUAUCAUUCUCAGUUUUUUGUUGGUUUGUGUUGUUCAGUCUUUAAUUU